CAAAGAGAAAUGUUCGUAGGCAUAAAGGCGCAUUAUAUAAAAUAUAAAUUCAAUCCAAAAGAGUAAAAUGCAAUUUGAUAGCAAUUAGAAAGAAAAAACCUCCCUCACCAUCUAUUUUCAUCUCAAUACAUCUUUUUUUUUUGGAAAUUCUUGUGCUCUAGACACAAAAUUGCUUAAGGAUUUGUAUGCUUUAAUUUAUCCAAAUAAAUGAUUUUUAAAAAGAGUUUAGGUAAAUUAUGUUUAUUUCAAUUAUGUAUAAGCGGUAAUUCUCCUAAUUAACAUAUUCCUCGUAUUCUUUGUGAUAGUCUUCCAUUCACCUUUAUAAAGAUAUACUGAUUAUUCAAUUUAAGAUUAACACAUCAACAUGAUAUCAGAGCCCAUAUAUUAUGGUGUUGCAUAGUGGCCUUUUCCUAAAAUCGUGGUAGUCACUCAAAAAUGUUGCAGUCACUUAGGUUUGCAACCACUCACUUGUUCGUAGUUCACUCAGAUCUAACUGCGGUUAUUCAUUUGUGGUCACCGUUGUGAAUAAAAUUGAAUAGGUAGCCCACUUUUUAAAAAUAUUAGUAAUUGACCUUCUGCUAACAUCGUGGAUGAGUGAAGUUACGGACUUGCACUUCCUUUAAAUUUUUUCUUUCUUUUUUUCUUGUUUUCUUCUCUUCUUCUUCCUCUUAUUCUCCAGGGAUCAAUUGGGCGGUUCUUUCAAAUUCUUUAUUUCUUUUGUUGUUCUUCUUUUGUUCUCUUUUUCUUCCUCUUGUUCUCCAACAAGCGACCAAAUCAAAUCCGGCGAGUCUACUCGAGUCUUUUUCUUCUAUCCCACGUUUCAGUUUGUGUUACAAAACGAGAUUGAGUGUCAAAGAGCGAGAUGAGCAAGAAUGGAGAUAGGACAACGAGAUCGAGUGAGAUAGAGGAAAGCAAUCAUGAGAAAAAAAAGGAGAUAGGACAACGGUGAAAGGUGAAAGGAAGCAAGAUAGAGAAGAUAAAGGGAGAUCGAGAGCGAAGAGCGAGAAAGGUCAUUCUGUGUGCGCACGAGGGUUUCAUUUUAGUAAUUCCACCUGAAUUUGGCGUUAGCAAAAGGUAAAAAAAACCUUAUUUUCAAAAAGCAAAACAAAUCUCAUUUUCUCCUAAUUUGGAUCAUCCAUACAAAAACUCCACCGUUGUGUGACUGUUUAGAUCAGUUCAUGUGACUAUUUGUUUGUGGCUGUCAUGUUUGGGUUUCCUCAAAUUCUUUCGUGGUUGUCGUUCGUGGUUUUGCUUAGUUCUGCGUUCGUGGGUUCUAGAUCUACUCUGAAUCUGCUGCAUAUCUACUCUGAAUUUCUUCUACUCUAGCACCAUAUCUACUCUGAGUCCUUUUGUGGCCAACGUCUGUCCUACUCUAGCUCUGUUAGUGACUUCUGGAUCUACUCCGAGUCUUAUCUAGAUCGCACUACCUUGUCGAUGACCUGCUAAGUUCGUGGGUAUUUAUUCCAUUCGUAUUUUUAGUUCUGCCAUUCAUGCUAUGGGUCUCUUUUCGUGGAGCUAUUUGUGUUUUCAGAUCUACUGCCUACCAAACGCUCAGUUAUAUGCAGGGGUCUCAAUUUUGUCUGAUAUAAGCAUCACGAUUUCAUUUGCCAUAUUUAAGAUGGUCAAACCGGCGUAGUUCAUUCAAACAGGUUCAAUCUGGCUUAGUCAAACCAGUUCAAUUUGGUUCAUAUCGAUUCAGUUUAGUUUGGUUCACUUAUUUAUUUGAUUCAGCUAUUUAUUCACUGUUUCUGAUGUAAAAAAUCUACCAGUCUCUUCUCUACACAUAUUUCCAAUUAAAAGGUCAUAAAUUUAUUGAUUGUUCUAUAAUUGAAUAUAAAUAUUGUCACAAAAGAGGUCAUAUUUUGGACAUUUGUCCUAUUCAAUGCCUCCUCCUCUCAGUAGAUCCACCACAACAAGGGACUUUUCUAUAGUCGGUUCCUUCUCUGUUGUUGUUGCUACCUUCUCUACUAAUGACUUUUUUUCUUCCUCAGUUCUCAUUCAGUAAUCUUCAAUAUUCAUUAAACCAAGUAAUCUCAUUACAUUCAUCUACCCUUGCGAUUACAUUAGGUAAUUCUUGACUUUUUGACAUUGCUUGUUGUAAUUAUAUGCCUUCUAAUAUCUUGCUUCUAGCAUCCUCACUCCUACCUCAUCACUUCCCUAUAUUCAUGUUGCUAAUGAAAAUUGUAUGUCAAUUGUUUAUCUUGGUAUUUUUAUCACACCCACCUUCAAUUUUCCUUAUACAUAACAUGUCCCUAAUCUUAAUUUCAAUCUCGCUUUUGUUGGCCAAUUAUGUAACCUUUCCCUAACUGUUUGUUUUUCUCCUAAUGGUAUCAUAUUCAAGACCUAAAAACAGGAUAGAUAGUUGGUAGGGGCCACAAAGUGGGACAAUUAUUUAAGCACACAUCUGUCAACUCUUUGGUUCUUCAUCUAUUUUUGCAUCUUCGAUGACUCUACCAUCCAUCAAUGACAUCUGCGUCUUGUUCAUGCUUCGUUUGAGAAUCUUCGUUUUGGGCAUCUUAGAGGUAGAGUCGGGUAUUAGUGACGAAAUGGAGCUAAAACAGGCGAUAAGGAGCUUAAUUGCACCAAUCGGGAAGGAAGAGCUGCAAAUGACGGUUUUCCCUCUACAUGCAUGGAGCCAUGCUCAACCCUGAAAAGGGAGAAUGCCUCAAUUUCAUGCAAAGCACACAGCGCUGCAGUGCUACCUAAGGCAACGCUGCAACGCUUCAAAGUUUGAAUGCAUGUUGUUUCUGUCAACAUCGUGGCUCUAUAGACUACCACUACGACACCAUCCCGAUUAUUAUCUAAACAACUUCAGCUGCCUAGGUUAAAUAUUAUAGCUUGUGAGAUUUUGAUCAUUAUCUAAAAUUCCAUUGAUUUGUCUUUGGAUUC